rnacentral:rRNA from 1 species
UACGUAGGCAGCGAGCGUUGUUCGGAGUUACUGGGCGUAAAGGGUGUGUAGGCGGUUCUCUAAGUUUGGUGUGAAAUCUCCCGGCUCAACUGGGGGGGUGCGCCGAAAACUGGAGGGCUAGAGUACGGGAUGGGAGAGUAGAAUUCCUGGUGUAGCGGUGAAAUGCGUAGAUAUCAGGAGGAAUACCGGUGGUGUAGACGGCUCUCUGGACCGUAACUGACGCUGAGACACGAAAGCGUGGGUAGCAAACAGG